AUUGAACGCUAGCGGGAUGCCUUCCACAUGCAAGUCGAACGGAGUGGCGAACGGGUGAGUAAUGUAUCGGAACGUUCCCAGUAGCGGGGGAUAACUACGCGACCGCGUAUCUAAUACCGCAUACUAUUGCACCCGCCGAUAUCGGAUUAGCUAGUUCGUGGGGUAACGGCUAACCAAGGCGCCGAUCCGUAGCUGGUUUGAGAGGACGACCAGCCACACUGGGACUGAGACACGGCCCAGACUCCUACGGGAGGCAGCAGUGGGGAAUUUUGGACAAUGGGGGAAACCCUGAUCCAGCCAUCCCGGGUGUUCGAUGAAGGCCUUCGGGUGGUAAAGAAAUUUUGGCAGGAAAGCGGUACCUGAAGAAUAAGCACCGGCUAACUACGUGCCAGCAGCCGCGGUAAUAC
rnacentral:rRNA from 1 species